ACAGAGGGACUGUGAGUCACAGAGGGGGCAGGGAUGGAGAGAGGGCAGGGGAGGGAGGGAGGCCGCGGGAGCUGGAAGGCUGGCGGAAGCUGUGUCACAGCGCGCCCCUGCGCCCACCACCCAGACAAGAGAGAUCUAAGUCAGGCUACAUGACCUUGAACCAUGAACCUUGGCAGGCGUUGGGCAGGAGAUGGAGCUGAGGCCUACCCCAGGCCAGGCCUGGACGUGACAUGCCCACGUGGCGUUGAGGAAAAACCAGUGUUUCCCACCGACUGGAACACAAGGGCAGGAGGCGAAGGCAGGAGAAUCCAGGCGACCCUGGGGCUUUUCUGCUGGGGCACUGUUCCCCCUGUGGCAGGGCCAUCCACAGAGGGGCUGGCGGAAGUGGGAGGACGAGUGCAUUCCACAGAGAUGGGAUUUGAACCUGGGCAUUCUGGCACGGGCCACGCUCUGGACCACUGGGCCCCAGAUCCACAGCUUCUCACCUGCAGCCGCUGAGGAUGUGGAGGCAGACCAGGCAGGCCCGUGGGAAGGACCACCAAAAAGCGAGUGAGCAGCCGGCGAGGGGUCUCUCCCCAACAGGAAGGCCAGGCAGCCUUGAAGGAGCCAGGGAGGGAUUUAGAAGCUCCAGGAGGGGAGGCUUGGGGGAGCCAGCUGGCCUCUCUCCCUCUCCCUGUCCUUCCCCCCAUGCCUACCCCAACACACACACACAUGUCCUUGCUGGCCCCGGAUGAGACAGACGCCUGCAAUCUGGCAUGGGGAAUGGGUUUCUCCUUCCUUUCCACAGAAGAAAAUAAAUCAGGCUGGGCGUCGUGGCUCCCGCCUGUAAUCCCAGCACUUUGGGAGCCUAAGGCAGCAGGAUCACUUGGGCCCAGGAGUUCUAGACCAGCAUGGGCAACAUAGUGAGACCCCCAUCUCUAUAAAAAAAUUUAAAAAUUAGCCAGGCAUGGUGGUGCGAGCCUGUAGUCCCAGCUACUUGGGAGGCUGAAGUGGGAGGAUCGCCUGAGCCUGGGAGUUGGUGCCUGCAGUGAGCCGUGAUGGUGCCAUUGCACUCUAGCCUGGGUGACAGUGCAAGACUCUGUCUUUAAAAAAAAAAGAAAAGAAAGAAAGAAAAAAGAAAAUAAAUCCAUCCACAGGCAGCACCAUUUUCAUAAAUAUGUGUGUAUAUGGCCUGCAUAUGCACCUUCUACGCUUUCUGAGCAGAUAAGAGGCGUGGCUAUGGCAGCCCCUGGUCUGAAGCUGGUGUAACCAGAAAGGAUCUAGGCUGGUUUGGGGAACCGGAACAUCUUAUGUCAGGGGAGUCGUGCUGGAUUUAUCCUGCAAUGGCCGGGUCCCCUCACCAAGGGAUGGGAAGGCAGCGUCAACUGAUCUGGUGUCGUCUCCUUGCUGUGUGCCAGGCUUCUCAAUGCUGGAAGGGGACUCGUUGGGUCAGUGGGACGUGGGCUUCACGUUUGCUGGGCUGAAGACGUAGCUCUCCAUGCUGGCAUCCCAGCGGACACCCCCACUGCCACUGCUGCACCACGUCUUCACGUACACCAGAGAGCAGACUUGAGAGUUUCUGCGCAUACAGUGGGUGUGAAAUGGUGCCCUGCUGGGUUUUGAAUCGGCAUUCCUUGACCACCGGCCAUAUUGCAGCACUUUUCAUUUCUUCUGUCAAAUGCCCGUGCAUGUCUUGGCUUACACUUUGCAGGUGUUCUGUAUUUUCCACACCAAUCCCUGGGGUGUAUGUCUUCGGCCUACCUGUUACUUGUCUUCUCAGUUUGCUGAUGUAUCAUGUGAUAAACAGAAAGUCUUAAUUUUAAUAUCAUAGCAUUUAUCAAUCUGAUUUCUUUUUUUGAGACGGGGUCUCGCUCUGUCGUGCAGGCUGGGGUGCAUUGGCGCAAUCAUGGCUCACUGAAGCCUCCUGGGCUCAAGUGAUCCUCCCACCUUAGCCUCCCAAACACCUGGGACUACAGGCAGGCGCCACAGUGCCUGGCUAAUUUUGUAAUUUUUUUGUAGAGACAGGGUCUCGCUAUGUUGCCCAGGCUGGUCUCAAACUCCUGGACUCAAGCGGCCCUCCCGCCUUGGCUUCCCAAAGUGCUGGCCCGUGAGCCUGUGAGCCACUGCGCCUGGCUACCUUCUUUUGAAUUCCCAUUCAGACUGUGUGUUGCUGGUACAUAGAAAAACAAUGGAUUUCUAUGUAUCAAGUAACCUUGUAAACUCUCAUAUUAAGUCUAAUAAUUAUGUUUGGGUUCUCUUUGUGGAUUCUUUUUGAUUUUCUGCGUACACAAUCCUAUCAUCUGCAAGUAAUGACCAUUUUGUUUCUUCUAUUCCAGUCUUUUUAGCUUUGAUUUCUUUUUUUGAGGCAGAGUCUGGCUCUGUCACCCAGGCUGGAGUAUAGUGGCACAAUCUUGGCUCACUGCAACCUCCGCCUCCCUGGUUCAAGCAGUUCUCCUGCCUCAGCCUCCCAAGAAGCUGGGACUACAGGCACCCACCACCACGCCUGACUAAUUUUUGUAUCUUUACCAGACACAGGGUUUCACCAUGUUGGCCAGGCUGAUCUGGAACUCCUGAUCCACCUGCCUUGGCCUCCCAAAGUGCUAGGAUUACAGGCGUGAGCCACUGUGCCCGGCUGAUUUCGUUUCCUUGCUUUACUUCCCUGGACUUGCUUUCUCUUGCUUUUACUUCCUUUGAAUGAAAGCAUAGGAGGCGCUGGGCAUGGUGGCUCACGCCUGUAAUCCCAGCACUUUGGGAGGCCGAGGUGGGUGGAUCACCUGAGGUCAGGAGUUCGAGACCAGCCUGACCAACAUGGAGAAACUCUGUCUCUACUAAAAAUACAAAAAAAUUAGCCGAGCAUGGUGGCCCAUGCUUGUAAUCCCAGCUACUUGGGAGGCUGAGGCAGGAGACUCGCUUGAACCCAGGAGGCCGAGGUUGCGGUGAGCCAAGAUCGAGCCAUUGCACUCCAGCCUGGGCAACAAAAGCGAAACUCUGUCUCAAAAAAAAAAAAAAAAAAAAAAAAAAAGCAUAGGAGGCAUUCUCAGUGUUCCAUUAUUAAGUAUGAUGUUUGCAGGGAGCAUUCGGUAGAUAUGUUUAUCAGAUUUAGAAAGCUCCCUCCCAUUCCUAGUGUGCUAUAUGUUGAAUUUUUAUAAAAUGCUUUUUCUGAAUGCAUUAAUAUGAUCACAGGGUUUUCCUCCUCUAAUCUGUUAAUGUGGCAAAUUACAUUAAUUCAUUUUUAAAUGUUAAACCACUCUUGUAUUUUCUGGACUAAACUCAACUUUGCGUGAUGUAUUUUUUUCAUAUACAAUUCUGGAUUGGGUGGUUUUUUUUUUUUUUUUUAGCCUCGUAUUAUUAUCCUCGUCUGGUUUUGGUAUCAAGACAUCGUAAAGUGAGUUGAGGCAGUAUUUCCUUUUUCAGCUGUUCACUGGAACAGUUAGUCUAAGAUGGAGAUGAUCAGUUACUUCCAUGUUUGCUGGAGAUCAUCUGUAAAACCAUCUAGGCCUUCCUUGUUUUUUAUUUUCUGUUUUUUGUUUUGUUUCUUUUCUUUUCUCUUCUUUGUUUUUUUUGUUUUGUUUUGUUUUGUUUUGUUGUUGUUUUGAGACAGAGUCUCACUCUGUUGCCCAGGCUGGAGUGCAGUGGUACAGUCUUGGCUUACUGCAACCUCUGCCUCCUGGGUGCAAGCGAUUCUCCUGCCUCAGCCUCCCGAGUAGCUGGGACUGCAGGCAUGCACCACCACGUCCAGCUAAGUUUUGUAUUUUUAGUAGAGACGGUGUUUCGCCAUGUUGGCCAGUCUGGUCUUGAACUCCUGACCUCAGGUGAUCUGCCUGCCUCGGCCUCACAAAGUGCUGGGAUUACAGGCAUGAGCCACCGCAUCUGGCCUGGCCUUCCUUGUUUUUGUAGCUUCCUGCCUGUCCCCCUAUAGAUUUUAAACAAUGAAUCCAACUUCUGUAAUAAUUAUGGGACCAUUUAGGUUUUCUGUUUCUUCUUGAGUAAUUUUUUUAUUGUGGGAAAAAAUACAUAACACAAAAUUUGCCAUCUUUUUUUUUUUUUUUUUUGAGACAGGUCUUGCUCUGUUGCCCAGGCUGGGGUGCAGUGGCAUAAUCAUUGUAACCUCAAACUCCUGGUCUCAAGCAAUUCUCCUGCCUCAGCCUCCUGGGUAGCUGGGACUAUAGGCAUUCACCACCAUGCCCAGCUAAUUUUUAAUUUAAUUUUUUUUUUUGAGACAGAUCUCACUUUGUCACCCAGGCUGGAGUACAGUGGCGUGAUCUCAGCUCACUGCAACCUCUGCCUCCCGGGUUCAAGCAAUUUUUGUGCUUCAGCCUCAAAUUUUUAAUGUUUUUGGUAGAGAUGGGAUCUUGUUACUUUGCCCAGGCUGGUCUCCCAUUCCCAGACUCAAUCAAUCCUCCUACCUUGGCUUCCCAAAGCACUGGGAUUACAGGUGUGAGCCACCAUGCCCAGCCUCCAACUUUAUUCUUUUGCAUGUGGAUAUCAAGUUUCCCCUAUACCAUUUGUUGAAAAGACUGCCCUUUUCCCAAUUUGUAGCCUUGAUACCCUUGUCAAAAAUCAUCUGACCAUAUACUUGAGAGUUUCUUUCUGGGCUCUGGAUUAUAUUCUGUCUCUGUCUUUAUGCCAGGACCACACUGUAAUAUGUUUUAUUUUGUAAAUCAGGAAGUGUGAGUCCUCGAACUUUGUUCUCCUUUUUCAGAAUUGUUUUGGUUAUUUGGAGCCCCUUGAGAUUCUAUCUGAAUUUAGGAUGAAUCAUUCUAUUUUGAGUCAAUUUUUGAUAAACAAUAUUUUUCUAGGAACAUGCUUUUUUUUUUUUUUUUUUAGACAGAAUCUAGCUCUGUCGCCCGGGCUGGAGUGCAGUGGCAUGAUCUUGGCUCACUGCAACCUUUGCCUCCUGGGUUCAAGCAAUCCUCCUGCCUCAGCCUCUCGAGUAGCUGGGAUUACAGGUGCCCGCUACCACGCCCAGCUGAUUUUUGUAUUUUUAGCAGAGACGGAGUUUCACUGUGUUGGCCAGGCUGGUCUUGAACUCCUGACCUCAGGUGAUCCACCUGCGUCGGUCUCCCAAAGUGCUGGGAUUACAAGCGUGAGCCACCGCGCCUGGCUGGAACAUGCCCAUUUUGUUUAAGUUUUCAAGUUUAUUAGCAUAAAGUGUUUUGGUUUUAUUUUAUCAUUGAUUUAUUAUUAAUAAAUGUCUUGGGUCAAAACCAGAUGACGUUGCUUAAUGUUCAUUUAUUGUUAACCUACAAAAAUUGCAGUUUCAUCUUGUUCAAUCUAAUACACACGGAAGAGCAUAUGCUGCUUAGAUGAAUCAUCCCCACUGACAGCCAUCAUGGACCCUUCUUUUUCCCUUCGCAGUUAGUCCUAGCCUUUCCUUGGUUUUCUUUAUACUUGUCCCAAAUAUGAAUUAGCCUUAAACAAUAAAUUAUUUACUUUUGCAACAAA